CCUACGGGGGGCAGCAGUGAGGAAUAUUGGUCAAUGGACGAGAGUCUGAACCAGCCAAGCAGCGUGAAGGAUGACUGCCCUAUGGAUUGUAAACUUCUUUUAUAUGGGAAUAAAACAGGGUUUGCAUACCCUCUUGUAUGUACUAUAAGAAUAAGGCUCGGCUAACUCCGUGCCAGCAGCCGCGGUAAUACGGAGGAUCCGAGCGUUAUCCGGAUUUAUUGGGUUUAAAGGGAGCGUAGGGGGAUUGUUAAGUCAGCUGUGAAAAGUUGGGGGUCAAACGUAAAAUUGCGAUUGAUACGGGCAGCCUUGAGUAGAGUUGAGGUAGGCGGAAUUCGUGGUGUAGCGGUGAAAUGCUUAGAUAUCACGAAGAACUCCGAUUGCGAAGGCAGCCUACUGAACUGCCACUGACAUUGAUGCUCGAAAGUGUGGGUAUCAAACAGGAUUAGAUACCCCUGUAGUC
rnacentral:rRNA from 1 species